UCUGCGUGGUGUCACCGCGUAACUGGUUUCUAUUUGCAUAAUGCACUCUCUCGCAACAUUUCCAGAGAUUAGCGUGACGUUAUUUCCGUUGAGCUGAGGCUACAAAGGCAGACGCUAAGCCGUCAGUACGUUAUUCUGUGCAGCGAACUAGUACCAUGCGUAUGUCGGUGCGCGUACUGUGCGUCAUUAUGGUGCUCCACGUCAGCGCGGCCAGUACGUCGGACAACCGUACGGCGCCGUCCCACACAGCAAUCGACUUGCCGCCUCCGUCCGGAAGAGCGCCUGGUGCGGCUAUUACACUGCCUCCCAGGUGCCCGGACGACACGACUAACGUCAACGGAAAAUGCGUACGCACCAUUCAUAUACAAGAUAACCGGGAAAACUGAAGACCAUCAGGCUGGCGGGCUGUAUCCAGCUAGGAAUGAGGAACAUUCGCUCAAGGGUGCGCUUCGUCGCACAAAUUAAAAAAAAACGCAUGUAUGGACACCAGUACUACACAAAGACGAAUGUAAAAUUUUGUAAUAAAAAUGCAAAUAUUUUCAGCAA